UUUGGGAGUGUAGCUCAGUGGUAGAGUACAGGCUUAGCAGGCAUGAGGCCCUGGGUUCAAGCCCCAGCACCAAAA